UUUCACUUUCGUGGAGUCGCAUGUUCUUAACAAAGAUCCACUUGAAGUGGUGUUAAUGCUUCAACAUGGCUACCCAUUUUUGGGAUGCAAUCCAUUAGUUUCUUCGAUCUCGGGGGGGUUAUGAAUGCAAGUUUAAAUAUAAUCAACGCAUGUUCAUUUUCUUCAAACAAAUAGAAGGAUCAAAGUCGUUCAUUCUUUGUGCAAGAUGGCUGUUAUUAAUGCUUGUGUUCAUAAAGGAAGAUGAACGUCUUUUAUUGUCUUUCAUUUGUUUUGUCUAUUCAUAUUAGGAAGUCAGGUCUUUUGGUUUAUUUACACCCAUACAUAGAGGUUUGUUAAAUCCAUUAAAUGCACCAUUCGUUUUGUGUAAAUAGAAGAGACGCUCUAUAACUUUUUGGACAAUGCUUUUCUUUGUUUUGUGUGAGCUUUCUUUGUUCUUCUUCACCAAGCUUAUGCACGCAAGAAUGGAGAUGGAUUUCGGGGACUUUGCCAGUCUCGAUGCUUUAGGGCCUUCCUCUGGUGACUAUAGGAUCUUCGUGAAGGUGGAUGGGGCUUACUUGAGGACAAACUUUGACGUGUAUGACAGAGAUAUGGGGUGGCCAAAGAGGGUUCCAUCUGUGGAUUCCAAUGUAUUCGACCCUGCAGUGAGUUGUUUCGCCAUCCUUUUUUAGUCAUGUUAAUCAAAUAUCCUCACUUGCAUUUAAAAAUCUUCACCUUUCCAAGGGACAUGCAUGAUCAAUCUCUGUUUUUGGAGAUGCCAACAUUAGGAGGUUUGUAAUAGGCUUGAAGAGACAAAGACCUACUAUAUUCACUUUUUCAGUUAGGUCUGAAGGUCUUGGAGUGCAUCGAAAGAUUCACUUGGAGUUGGACGAGCGCACCGAGAUGGUGGAGCACUCUGUAAUUCAUUCCUUCCCAUUGCUUCAAGGUGAAGCCUGUUCGGGAACUCAGAUGUUUGUGGUUUCUUGAAAGAGAUGGUUAUAUACGAUUGGUAUGAAGAUGGAGGUAUGCUGACCUGGGGGCUGGAAUUUGUAGUGGAGGACAGUCGCAGCGAUAAGCUCGAGUGCACUCUGUUUGGUGAUCCUGCAAUUGCUGCGUGGACCAGUUUUGGAGAGAAGAAAGAUAAGCCUGACCUCAUUGUGGUUGUUCACUACGCUCUUGUCAAGAGAGACUCCGGUAAGGUAUUCUACAUAUGGAAAAAGAUCACUUGUAGUUUUAUAAUUAACUAUGCCUUUGGUUCAUUAUUCCUGAAUCCUUCUCUUCCAUUUUCGCAAGACUGACCUCCCUCACGAAUUUUGCUAAUGUAACGAAGGUAUAUUUGGACCCACAAAUUCCUAAAACUUCAUGAUGUUCGAAGGGUCUUGUAGGCGAAGGUUAGUAGAGGUUGCCAUAUCAUGUGAGGGGUAUAGAAGUCAUAUUCAGAUACCGUACAUACCAAUAGAUGUUGGCUUUAAAAUCCAUUUCAAACCAUCUGUGCUUAUGGAUCGUGCAAUAGCUCAAUGUUUUUUUUUUGUUAUAGCUGGACUUAUGUACAUAUUUGAUGUUCCUUUUUUCGAUAAUGUUGAAAUUUGGAUCGGACU